UCCAUGCCAAUACGCUCAAAUGGAACGUCAAUAAGUGAUAAUGGACGCAAUGGUGCUCUUGGGAUGGCCAGUUGGUUAACCAACUGACUUUCGGGGAAAGACUCACACCAGCGGCGUACAUCUCCCCGAAUCCCAGGCCAAUAGAAACGGGCCAUUAUCCGGUUUAGUGUUUUUCAUACCCCAUGUGCCCCGCCACUGGGUUAUAAUGAGCCACCUGGAAAACUGUUUCCCGGCAGCUUUCCGGAACAAACAACCUCUGCUGACUGAGUGUCACGACUCACUCUGUAUAGCCUGUCCCUAACCAAUGUGAAAUGUGGAUAUGUCUGUGCUGCAUCAGGUUGCACCAACUGACAAUUUUUAUCACUUGGUCAAAGGCAAAGCGUAGAGUAUCGUCACAAGACUGCUCGAGUGGAAAAUCUUCCAUGGAGUGCAACGAGGGAACCUGUGGAGCCUCUGAUACUCGUUAAAAGUAAAUUAUCUGUUCUCAUGUUAGCCGAGCACUCCCUCAGCCCUAUACUGCACAGCUUUGCACUGAACCGUGCUGCAGCAUUCUUUAAACACAGUUGGUUCCUCCUAGACCGGCUCCACUGGAAGAACCACAUUGACAGGUUCCAGCUUCCAGUCCAACCCUCAGCCCCAGGUUCACACCCACCAGCCCAAGCUUCCCCAGGUCUGCACUCCCUCUCCCCCUCUUUUCAAUAAACACUAGUUUCCUAUUAAGUCCCUGUCUCCUGGAGUGUCUGCAUGUGUGUUCACGAGCUCAGUCUCAACACAAACUGGUUAGGGGGUGAAAAGGUGAGAAGGAGGCGUGAGCCGAGAGAAAUACAAAGCGACAAGGGGGUAUACUCUGGAGAUUCUUUAUUUUAGUUUAAAAUAAGCUGCUGAAUACUGAUUUCUGAUGACUUUAAUUCAAUUCAAUUCAAUUCAAUUUUAUUUGUAUAGCGCCAAUUCAUAACAGAAGUUAUCUCAGGACACUUUUCAAAUAGAGCAGGUCUAGACCGAACUCUUUAACAUUAAUUACAGAGACCCAACAGUACCACCAUGAGCAAGCACUUGGCGACAAGGGCAAGGGAAAAACUGCCUGUUAAAAGGCAGAAACCUAGGACAGAUCCUCCGGCUCUAGGUGGGUGGUCGUCUUUAACUGGUCACAAGAUAACACAGUUACAAUAUUCAACAAGUGAAGUAGAAAGUCUUAAUUCAUGAGAUCAAGAUUAGUAUUUUAGUGUCCAUGAUGGUGGACACAAUAGCCCCAUCCUUCUUAAGCACCAGAGCAAUGGGGCGACACCAGGCACUGUUGGACUCUUCUACUACUCCCAUCUCCAACAUGGCUUUCAGUUCCUUCUGAGCCACUUUUCUUUUGUGUUCAGGUAACCGAUAGGGCUGUGAACGCAUCGUCACGCCUGGGUGAGUCUCAACGUGAUGCUGUAUGAGACUUGUGCGUCUUGGCAGGGGGGAGAACAC
rnacentral:lncRNA from 15 species